CGAAGAUUUAUUUAUUGUCCAUCAAAAGAAAUGGUAUAUAAAUGAAAAACUACACGACCAAUUAUGUGCAUAUUUCAAGAUGCAUAAGUACAUAAUCUUUUUGAGCUUUCUUGUUCUCCUAGCAGGUGUACAUGUACAUGGCCAGGGAGGGAAGUGUCCAUUCGGACUUUAUCCUUUGAGGUACACAGCUUGUCAACACACCUUCCAUUGUCCAAGGGGAGCAUUCUGCUGGAUCACCCCAACAAGAAUAUAUGGGAUAUGCUGUCCAUAUUGGUGGCAGUGAAAAUGAUGGGUUAGAAGAUCCGGCUGUCUUGUGUUGCAUAACAUGCUGG